rnacentral:lncRNA from 1 species
AUGAAAGGAAGUAGGGAUGUAAACGGGUCGGAUAACAUCAGAACCAUGAUCUGGUUGGAACCGCGAUCUGAUUACAGAGCUCCCAUCAGAACCGCGAUCAGAUCGCGCAUUCCAAUUUGUGGAGGGUUCCCAAUCUGUAUAGCAAAAAGUGACAAAGACAAAUAAAAAAUAAAUAAAUAAAUCAAUCAAAUUGGUUGGUUAGAUUACCUUAAAUAAGUGUGUUUUAAAAGAUAGAAUAAUACGCAAAAAUCAUACCCCAAAAAAAGAAAGAGCUGGUGAUUAGAAGAGAAAUUCACAACUGGAGAUAAACAAAAGAAAAAUAUAUGUAGUAACAAUAUGUUAAGUUAUAUACACACACGCACUGGUUAUUCGAUGAGAACCAUGGUCGGACAAACGAUCUGACUAAUCCUAACCACAUUCUUGAGAAACUAGCAUACUGCAUCCCCAUAUACAGCAUGCCACAUCGUAUCCCAUUACCAGUAGCAUUGAUCCAUCUAACCUUGCUUCUGAACACAGAGUUUGCUAGACAAUGAAUUCAAAUUUCCUUAUCCAGCUUGAACUCAGGUGGGAACAAGAUUUCUAAACGUAAUUCGAAUGUGCAAAAGCAAAAUCCAAGCGGAAAUUUUAUUCGAAAUGGCUACGAUGAAGUAUUUAAGUGCCGAUUGGCAUGGGCCGUAUCGUGCCGACAAGAUAUAUGCACGAUACAGCCACUAUGCCGAUGACACAACUCAACACCCUCUAUUCUUUAAAUUAGUAAGUAAUUUUCUCAAUAAAGUUCAAAAGAUUUGAUAAAGAUAUAUAAUAAACGGUUAGAAUAUUUUGUUGCUAAAGAAAAUAAAUAUUUCAUGCCAUUGUGGGUUGGCACACAUAUAUUUUUUGUGACCGGCAAGCACAGUGCCGUACCGUGCCGGCAAGUUUCCGGCACGAACCCGUGCCACAGCACAAAUCAUUGGCUAAGAUAUUCCUAGGAUUAGCCCAAUGUAUAUAAAGGAAAGGUCAAGAAGGCUCAGAUUGGCUCACAUAUCAGGACAUGACGGCUUUUGGGCUCCCCAAAGUCUUGGAACGAAACACUGUUCUUAGGGACACGUUGUCUCUCCAUCUCCAGUUGCAUUAAAAGUGGGACAAAAUGGUUGCCUGCACAAGGCAGGCCAUCCACAAUUUGCCUUGCCAACUAUUUUGAAGUUCAAUGCAUCAAACUGCAACACAAAGAAAUACACUUGCCUAAACAAAAUUUCAGGAGAAAGUUCAGUGACCGAUGGUGCGAUUUACCCAAAGCAAAGCAUCAACACGAAAACCAUGAACCCCCAAACCCUAAAUUCAAUAUCUAAACCAACAAGGCUGCAGCUAGAAAUGGGGCUAUAUCCCUUCAAGUGGGCCAAAUCAUCAUUGCCUUUCAGAGGGAGGGUCAAAAUAAGAAAAGCCGAUAGCCAACAACAAAAAAAGAAGGGCCUGAGAAUGAACUUCUAGAGGGAGACAAGAACCACGAGCUCUCACUCUAAGAGAGACAGGGCAGCGCUUCCAAGCUUCCAUCUAGUCCUCACAAAAGUAGAUAAGUCACCAAAGUAAUGCUCAAAAUUUCAUGUUUGAGACUAACUUACGAAGCUAAAUGCAGUAAUAAGAUUUACCCAAUUUGGGGUAAAAUGUAUGGAACUAACCUGAACUAUAGGCCAUUUUGAAAUAGGCACACUUUCUCAAAGAGAAUAAGUGUAUUUGAGCACCAUCACAGGCUCCCAUGAACUCACCCCAAUUCAAUGAAGUACAACCCACAUUGUACAACAGUGCAAGGGACCCGUAGCAUACUCUUCAGAAACAGUGAUGAACUCACCAAUCAUCACUGUUUCAAGCUAUAGAACAAACAGGGAACUUGCAGCAGUACUGAGUGAAAUAGGUAUCUUUUUGUCAAAGAGGAGAAAUGGAUGAACUCACCAAUCAUCAUCACCUCCUUAUUAUCAUGCUUGCUAUUUUAUGUGUGUGCGUAUGAGAGAGAGAGAGAGAGAGAGAGAGAGAGAGAGAGAGAGAGAGGAGAGGAGAGGUGGGCUUUUUAAGAGAUCGCCUGCUCAGCCUGGAAGGGGUCCCAAUAUACUGCGUCUUGCAGAGGCUGAGAAUGAGGCAAACACUUCCAGAGGCAAAAAACCUUUAAUGUGUUACUCUGGGAUCCCAAGGGAGAUAGGCCCAGAUUUCAUAUCAGGGAAAUAUUUUGGCUAGAAAUACUUCGGCUUCUCCAGGGCACAAGAAAUUGCCUGCACCGGGUGUAUAAGUACAUCUCAUACAUCGCACUGCCAAAAUCAUAAGAUAGAGGCAUUAAAAUCAGAAGUAGAGGACCCAAAAUUUGCAUUGCCAACUGUUCUGAAGUUCAGUGCUUCAAACUGUAACUCACAAAUGAACUUGUUUAAAUGAAACUUAGCUGAAUGUUCAAUGACAAAUGGUGCAACUUACCCAAAAAGAAGCAUCGAAUCUGAAACACAGAACCAAAACCCAAAACCCUAUAUUCAACAUUCAAACCAACCAGUCUGCAUCCCAAACUAAAUUGACUUUUAAAAAGAAGGUAAAGGUAAGAAAAUAUGAUGGCCAGCAGCAGGACAAAAUAAUAAAAAUGAAACAAUUAAAAAGAAAAGCCUAAUAAUGAAUUUGGAAGGGACAUCGGAACCAUGAGAUCUGGCUUCAAGGAAGGCAGGGCAACCCUUCCAACCUUCCAACCUUUCCUAACAAGAGCCACGAAAUUUUCUAACUUAAUACUCAUAUAUAUCCCAUUUGCAACAAACUUGUGAACUUUGUUCGACCAUUGAUAAAAGGACCUCAAAAAGAACCCAAGAACCUUGAAAAAAAGGAUUAAACAACAAGAGAAUGAUGCUAUCGGUAACUCAGGAGAAGAAAAGGUUCACUGCAUUCAUGAUUUCACACAAGAUUGGUAACAAUUUAAUCAAACAUUUCAAAGCCGAUGCGUUGAUUUCAUAAAUCCUCAAGAAACAGCAAAGGAAUGUCAGGAAAAAAAAAAAAAGAGAAUAAGAAAACCCUUUGUAUUGUCUGAAAUCUGAACAGCAAAUCAGAUAAGUGGAAGAAUGUUAAUCUCAUUUGUAUCACCACGACCUUCUCCCACUGUCCCACCAUAGAAUAUCUCAUUAAAAACGGAGAAAAGAACACAGCAAUAGCAGCAAUACGUCGAAAAGAAAAGGAUUUUGUUAAAAACAUCAAUAUUCCACUAUAGCAGACUGACCUUCUAAGAACAAAACCACAAUAAAGCCACAAGACUGUGUGUUGGAAAUGGAAAGAAGAAUCAUAAUACUUAAAAAUUGAAGGGACAAAAAUUAAGAAAGGACUUCACGAAAAAUGUCGCAGAACCAAAGCAAAAACACUUGUUUAAACAACCCAAUGAAAGAAAAAAAAAACUCCAUAGAAUCUCAGCAAUAGUAAAAUAAUAGGGUUAAUUGCAUACAGCUCCCUGUAACUCCAAGAAGAAACACACACAUGGAAAUACAAUGAGAUUGGAGGAAGUGAGGCUCAGAUUCACCAUUGAUUGAUCAAAUAAACAAAUCUCCUCUCUCUCUCUCUCUCUCUCUUUAUCUCCCACGCUUCUUGUCCGAGUAAAACCCUUCAUAAGGGCAAAGGGCUGCAGCAGUUGCACUCAUGCCAUACAAGCUGCCUUGCCAUCUUGACCUUCAAAAUGGUAUGGUGUCAUCAAUCAUCAUCGCCUCCCCCUUGCAUACAUCAUUUCAACACACAUAUACAUACAUACAUACAUACAUACAUAUAUAUACACACACACACACAUACACAAGAAGGGGCAAGCUAGAGAGACUAGUCAAUCCGUCACCUCCAAGCUGCCGCAAAAACGUAAAUAAGGCGUUCACUAGCACAAAACCCUUAAAAAUGAACUCACUAAGAAUGUCGCAAAACCAAAGCAAAAACACUUGUUUAAACAACCCAAUGAAACAAAAAAAAACUCCAUAGAAUCUCAGCAUUAGUAAAAUAACCGGGUUAAUUGCAUACAGCUCCCUGUAACUCCUAGAAGAAACACACACUUGGAAAUACGAUGAGAUUGGGGGAAGUGAGGCUCAGAUUCACCAUUGAAUAUCAAAUAAACAAGUCUCCUCUCUCCCUCUCUCUCUCUCUCUCUCUCUAUUUAUCUCCCACGCUUCUUGUCUGAGUAAAACCCUUCAUAAGGGCAAAGGGCUGCAGCAGUUGCACUCAUGCCAUACAAGCUGCCUUGCCAUCUUGACCUUCAAAAUGGUAUGGUGUCAUCAAUCAUCAUUGCCUCCCCCUUGCGUACAUCAUUUCAACACACAUAUACAUACAUACACACAUACACAAGAAGGGGCAAGCUAGAGAGACAAGUCAAUCCGUCACCUCCAAGCUGCCGCAAAAACAUAAAUAAGGAGUUCACUAGCACAAAACCCUUAAAAAUGAACUUAAUAUACACAAAAUUUGUAAAUCAACAAUAAACUUCUCAACGGUUCAAGGGUUAAUUUUAUACAGUCCCCCAAAUCCGACCAUUAUUUCUAUUUCAACCUUUAAGUAGGCCAAAAUCAUCAUUGUAAAAGAAAAGCUAAGAAGCCAAGAAGGAAGCAAGGAAGAAUGGCUUGACAACACGCUUACAAUAGAGAUAAGAAACCAUGGGCUUCUAGUACGGAGAGGUAGGGCAGCCCUUCAAACCUUCCAUCCUUUCCUCACAAAAACUCGAGGAUUUUCAGUGUGUCGCUCAUGUAGUAUAUCUGGAUCAAAAGCAGAGGAACUUCCUAUAGAAUUUCUUUUUGAGCAAUGCUACUGAGCAGCAUACUGCCUCAAAAGUGGAGGAGCUAGGGAUGCCAAUGAGUUGGAUGAAUAUCAGUCCAACCCGGUUCCAAAUCCGAGUUUUUCCAGAUCCGUUCAGAUUUAUUAAACUAACCUGAAAAAAGCGCAAAACUAGUGGAUUUUUUAUGCAAAUUGGCAUUCCAUGAACUAGCCAGUUAGGUAUGAAGAAACUGAGAAGAAGGCUCAGAAUGGCCCGUUUAUCAGACACAACACUCGCUGGUUUUCUCAAACUAGAAGCAAGAAACAACAGGGGGCAUGGCUAUGUCCGGGAGUGACAGACUGUUUUUAGGCUCACCAUCCAUUCAGCAUAUCUUUUUUACUUCAUAUCUAAAGAGGCGAGCAAAUGGUUGCCUGCAGAAGGCAGACCAUCCAAAUUUGCCCAAAAAGUUUAGGGACCAGCAGUGCAAUUUACCCAAAUAAAGCAUUAAGAACUCGGACCAUGAACACCCCAAAUUCGAAAUUCGAGAACUAAACCAGCAAGUCUGCAUCCCAAUUUAGGAUAGUAUCCCCUUGGGCGGGCCAAUAUCAUCAUUGCCAAACCAAAAGAACAGCUGAUCACCGGCAACUGGAGCAAAAAAAGAGGAAGAUGCUCCUAAUAACGACAGUGCAGGGCAGCCUUUCCAAUCCCCAAAGCUCACAAACAUUUAAGGGGCUGUUUGGUUCAACAUUCGUAAUAUUCCAGGAAUGCUGUAUGUUUUAUAUGUGGACUAGCAAGUUCGUAACAUUGAUGAUCAUCUAAGAUGAUUACAUCAAUAUAUAUAUAUAUAUAUAGAAUUAGGCUACUAUUAUAUAUAUAUAUAUAUAGAGAGAGAGAGAGAGAGAGAAUUAUGCUACUAUACUAUCGAUAGUACUAAGCGUUUGGUGCUAUCGAAUUUUUGACCGUUGGAUUAAAGGAUGUGCAGUUAGGAUGAUAGCAGCCUCCUAGGGUUGAGUGGAUGGUUGGUUGAAUAGAAUAAUCUAACGGGUGAAAAUGAUCAAAAUGAUAGAUCUAACGGCGGAAAACUUGGUAGCACUAAGUGCUUCGUGCUAUAUAUAAGAGUAUAUACGGUAUAUACGAUCAAAACAGCUAUGUAAUCAGUAACUUUAAUUGAGAAAAAGAAUAUCUAUUGAACUGUAUGAUAAAAUUUAUUUCAAGAAGGGGCAAGCUAGAGAGACUAGUCAAUCCGUCACCUCCAAGCUGCCGCAAAAACGUAAAUAAGGCGUUCACUAGCACAAAACCCUUAAAAAUGAACUCACUAAGAAUGUCGCAAAACCAAAGCAAAAACACUUGUUUAAACAACCCAAUGAAACAAAAAAAAACUCCAUAGAAUCUCAGCAUUAGUAAAAUAACCGGGUUAAUUGCAUACAGCUCCCUGUAACUCCUAGAAGAAACACACACUUGGAAAUACGAUGAGAUUGGGGGAAGUGAGGCUCAGAUUCACCAUUGAAUAUCAAAUAAACAAGUCUCCUCUCUCCCUCUCUCUCUCUCUCUCUCUCUAUUUAUCUCCCACGCUUCUUGUCCGAGUAAAACCCUUCAUAAGGGCAAAGGGCUGCAGCAGUUGCACUCAUGCCAUACAAGCUGCCUUGCCAUCUUGACCUUCAAAAUGGUAUGGUGUCAUCAAUCAUCAUUGCCUCCCCCUUGCGUACACACACACACACACACACACACACACACACACACACACACACACACACACACACACACACACACACACACACACACACACACACACACACACACACACACACACACACACACACACACACACACACACACACACACACACACACACACACACACACACACACACACACACACACACACACACACACACACACACACACACACACACACACACACACACACACACACACACACACACACACACACACACACACACACACACACACACACACACACACACACACACACACACACACACACACACACACACACACACACACACACACACACACACACACACACACACACACACACACACACACACACACACACACACACACACACACACACACACACACACACACACACACACACACACACACACACACACACACACACACACACACACACACACACACACACACACACACACACACACAUACACAAGAAGGGGCAAGCUAGAGAGACUAGUCAAUCCGUCACCUCCAAGCUGCCGCAAAAACAUAAAUAAGGCGUUCACUAGCAAACAACCCUUCAAAAUGAACUCACUAACAAUGUCACAGAACCAAAGCAAAAACACUUGUUUAAACAACCCAAUGAAAGAAAAAAAAAAACCUCCAUAGAAUCUCAGCAUUAGUAAAAUAAUAGGGUUACAGCUCCCUGUAACUCCAAGAAGAAACACACACUUGGAAAUACAAUGAGAUUGGGGGAAGUGAGGCUCAGAUUCACCAUUGAAUAUCCAAUAAACAAAUCUCCUCUCUCUCUCUCUCUCUCUCUCUCUCUCUCUCUCUCUCCCACGCUUCUUGUCCGAGUAAAACCCUUCAUAAGGGCAAAGGGCUGCAGCAGUUGCACUCAUGCCAUACAAGCUGCCUUGCCAUCUUGACCUUCAAAAUGGUAUGGUGUCAUCAAUCAUCAUUGCCUCCCCCUUGCGUACAUCAUUUCAACACACAUAUACAUACAUACACACAUACACAAGAAGGGGCAAGCUAGAGAGACAAGUCAAUCCGUCACCUCCAAGCUGCCGCAAAACAUAAAUAAGGAGUUCACUAGCACAAAACCCUUAAAAAUGAACUUAAUAUACACAAAAUUUGUAAAUCAACAAUAAACUUCUCAACGGUUCAAGGGUUAAUUUUAUACAGUCCCCCAAAUCCGACCAUUAUUUCUAUUUCAACCUUUAAGUAGGCCAAAAUCAUCAUUGUAAAAGAAAAGCUAAGAAGCCAAGAAGGAAGCAAGGAAGAAUGGCUUGACAACACGCUUACAAUAGAGAUAAGAAACCAUGGGCUUCUAGUACGGAGAGGUAGGGCAGCCCCUCAAACCUUCCAUCCUUUCCUCACAAAAACUCGAGGAUUUUCAGUGUGUCGCUCAUGUAGUAUAUCUGGAUCAAAAGCAGAGGAACUUCCUAUAGAAUUUCUUUUUGAGCAAUGCUACUGAGCAGCAUACUGCCUCAAAAGUGGAGGAGCUAGGGAUGCCAAUGAGUUGGAUGAAUAUCAGUCCAACCCGGUUCCAAAUCCGAGUUUUUCCAGAUCCGUUCAGAUUUAUUAAACUAACCUGAAAAAAGCGCAAAACUAGUGGAUUUUUUAUGCAAAUUGGCAUUCCAUGAACUAGCCAGUUAG